CUUUAUAAGCAGUAAUUUUGAGGCUCCUCAUUUUCCUGAGAGAUGUUAUAGGCCACAGAGCUGAAUGUGUUUUGAAGUAAACAGCAGAAGAGGGGAAUUUUGGAGGCCUAAAACAUGAUCUUAUAAUGAAACUUCCCAUUUCAAAAUUCAAACAGAGCUUUGGCUCUGAUAGUUCCCAAGGCUGAAGAACUGCACUCAUGGUUGAUUCAGUGUCCAAGCCGAUGACCUCAGGAGGUGGAGAAGUAAGCCUCAGCUGCUGUGUCAGAAGGAUCUCGUGGAUGAUUUCAGCCACUGGAGUACAGCUCAGUUAGGGGGAAACAUACGGAGGCCAUACAUAUGCUCAGUGUUUACCAACAUGAGAAGACAGCGUCUUUAGCAGCCAUGGGGACUGCUUUGGAUGCAUCCGUGUAAGUCUCUCAGCAAGCUUGCG